rnacentral:lncRNA from 10 species
GAGCCAUUUCCCAUGUCUCUCUGUUCUCCAAACCGCGAUGAAAUUUCAACCUGCCCAACACGAUUACUGGUCCACCUAGAAAUGCCGUGGAGCGAUUUAAGAGCCUCGGAAAUUUCCUUUAAGGUCAGGAGAGAAGCUGGUAACAGAUGGGGCGAAGGAGGAAAAGUUCUUUUUGCGGCACCCUCACGCCUUCCCAGCCCUUUCGCGGUUUACUCGCUCCCCGGAAAGCAGUCUCGGGUGAGAUCACCACGGAGCGGCUUAGCGCGGCGCACAAGUCUCGCGAGAGAAGCGGCGGCUGGGCCCUGCAGGCGGAGGAAGUGGAAAAAGUCGCGGGAGGGUAGGGGACCGCGGAACUUCUGGUUGCUAUGACGACGGCAAAGCCCUGGAUUCCUGUCUCCUGCGGAGAGCAGAGGCUGCAAACACUAGUCUCACUCUGUUGCCCAGGCUGGAGUGCAGUGGCGCGAUCUCAGCUUACUUCAGCCUCCGCCUCCCGGUUUCAAGUGAAUUCUCCAGCCUCAACUUCACAAGUAGCUGGGAUUACAGCCACUUUUUAUCUUCUCUCCUGCAAUCCAACCCACAUAAUUUCCAUGAAGAAAGCGGAGUGGUGUCAUUUUACAACAAGAAAACUGAGUUAAGAAUAAGUCCAAUCAAUUGCUAGGUGUUGAGACUGAAAUGGAAGUCUCUUAGUACUCCACCCAAGGAUUUUCAUAUUAAACAAUUAUCU